GGCUUUGCUCAGUGGCAGUAUCAUAGCCAAUGAGGUUAAUCCGAGGCGCGAUUAUCGCUAAUUGAAACUCUGCAGGUGCAGAGCGAGUGUGCCAGGAGCUGGAGGACGGUCUGGUAAUUCAUGAAUGCCAGUUCACCUUCUUGU
rnacentral:snRNA from 1 species